UACGGAGGGUGCAAGCGUUAUCCGGAUUUAUUGGGUGUAAAGCGUGCGUAGGCGGUUUGAUAAGUCAGUUGUGAAAUCCCGCAGCUCAACUGGGGAACUGCCAUUGAAACUGUCAAGCUUGAGUAUAGUUGAGGUGGGCGGAAUUGCAGGUGUAGCGGUGAAAUGCUUAGAUAUCUGGAAGAACACCGAUUGCGAAGGCAGCUUACUAGUCUGUAACUGACGCUGAGGCACGAAAGCGUGGGGAUCAAACAGG
rnacentral:rRNA from 1 species